rnacentral:tRNA from 1 species
GCCGGCCUGUCACGCCGGAGGUCGCGGGUUCGAGUCCCGUCCGCUCCGCCA